rnacentral:rRNA from 1 species
CCUACGGGGUGCUGCAGUGAGGAAUAUUGGUCAAUGGGCGGGAGCCUGAACCAGCCAAGCCGCGUGAGGGAAGAAGGUACAGCGUAUCGUAAACCUCUUUUGUCAGGGAACAAAGGCGGGGACUAGUCCCCGGAUGAGGGUACCUGAAGAAAAAGCAUCGGCUAACUCCGUGCCAGCAGCCGCGGUAAUACGGAGGAUGCGAGCGUUAUCCGGAUUUAUUGGGUUUAAAGGGUGCGCAGGCGGCCUGUUAAGUCAGCGGGAAAAGCCCGGGGCUCAACCCCGGCGAGCCGUUGAAACUGGCGGGCUGGAGUUGGAGAGAAGUACGCGGAAUGCGCGGUGUAGCGGUGAAAUGCUUAGAUAGCGCGCAGAACCCCGAUUGCGAAGGCAGCGUACCGGCUCCACACUGACGCUGAGGCACGAAAGCGUGGGUAUCGAACAGGAUUAGAUACCCUAGUAGUC